CGGAGCGUGGCGCAGUCUGGUAGCGCACUUGACUGGGGGUCAAGGCGCCGGAGGUUCGAAUCCUCUCGCCCCGA
rnacentral:tRNA from 1 species